GUCGUGAGAUGUUGGGUUAAGUCCCGCAACGAGCGCAACCCUCGUUCCAUGUUGCCAGCGGGUUAUGCCGGGGACUCAUGGGAGACUGCCGGGGUCAACUCGGAGGAAGGUGGGGAUGACGUCAAGUCAUCAUGCCCCUUAUGUCCAGGGCUUCACGCAUGCUACAAUGGCCGGUACAAAGGGCUGCGAUACCGCAAGGUGGAGCGAAUCCCAAAAAGCCGGUCUCAGUUCGGAUCGGGGUCUGCAACUCGACCCCGUGAAGUCGGAGUCGCUAGUAAUCGCAGAUCAGCAACGCUGCGGUGAAUACGUUCCCGGGCCUUGUACACACCGCCCGUCACGUCACGAAAGUCGGCAACACCCGAAGCCGGUGGCCUAACCCCUUGUGGGAGGGAGCCGUCGAAGGUGGGGCUGGCGAUUGGGACGAAGUCGUAACAAGGUAGCCGUACCGGAAGGUGCGGCUGGAUCACCUCCUUUCUAAGGAGCUCCUGACUGCGAAAGUGGUCCAGGGACCCGUGCAUCACGUGUGUGGUGUGGGGUGCUCAGUUGGCGGAGACACUGGUGAAGUUGGCUGCCGGCAACGGUCUGCUGUUCCUAGUACUGCUCGUGUGCUUGUCCCUGUGUGGGGUGGGUGUGUGGGUGUGGAUCGGGGUGGUGGGUGCGGCUGGUGGUGGCGUUCAGACAUCCUGUUGGGUCCUGAGGGAACAAGCGUUGCACUGGGUCCCCUGGUUGGGGGUUGGGUGUGGUGGUUGUUUUUUCUGGUUCAGUCCGGCCUGGUCAUCAAACUGCCCUGUUGGUUCGCGGAAGUGUUUCGUGGGUUGGUGUGGGUGUGUGGUGGUUGUGGGGUUCGGGGUUGGCCGUUGUUUGAGAAUUGCACAGUGGACGCGAGCAUCUUUGUUGUGAAGUUGUCAAGGGCAGACGGUGAAUGCCUUGGCACCAGGAGCCGAUGAAGGACGCGGGAGGCCGCGAUAGGCCUGGGGGAGCUGUCAACCUAGCUGUGAUCCCAGGGUGU
rnacentral:sRNA from 1 species